AUGUUAUGUGAGCCAGACUCCCUUUGUACACGUGUGCUGAAGGCGAGGUAUUUCCCUUCUGGCGAUCUUCUAAAUGCUGAAUUGAAAAAGGGUUCUUCGUAUACCUGGCAAAGCAUACAUGCAGGCAUCCAAUGUCUUAGGAAAGGGUAUAUAUGGCGGGUGGGAGAUGGUACGGAAAUAAACAUAUGGGAUGAUCCGUGGAUUCCCAAUAGCCCGUCAAGGAAGGUUUUGACUGAGCGACGGAAUAUUGUGCUUACGUCAGUCUCAGAAUUGAUCAAUCCGGAUGCGAAGGAAUGGGACGAACAGCUAGUAAGGAGCCUCUUCUUGCCAGUUGAUGCGGCAAGAAUUCUUAACAUUCCCCUAGCAGUUGGUUAUAUGGAGGAUUUUGUUGCUUGGAAUCAUACCAAAUCGGGCCUAUUUACCAUCAGGUCCGCUUACUACACCGAAUGGGAGUUUCAGCAUGGGAGGAAAUUGGCUAGGACGAGCCCUCCGAGCACCACUGCUGUGAAUCCUGUCUGGCAGCAAGUGUGGAAACUUCAAGUCCCGGCAAAGGUAAAGAUUUACUGUUGGAGGGUCUUGCAUGGGACUAUUCCAUGUAAUAGUAUUCUCGCUAAUCGACACAUACAAGACCAGUAG
rnacentral:rRNA from 1 species